GCUUUCAUAGUGUAGCGGUUAUCACGCGUUCCUCACACGAACGAGGUCCCCGGUUCGAGCCCGGGUGAAAGCA